ensembl:lncRNA
AGGUCGAUCCAGUCUGAGAGUCACAGUCCGGGCUCCUCCACAAAUCAUGGAGUCAACCAGGAUGAAACUCAUGUGUAUGACUCUGUUCAAUAUGGUACCAAUAACCUCUAUGAAUCAGUUUCGUACAUCGAAGACAACAGAAAUGGAUCAGAUGAACAUCAAGAUGUCACAUACGCUUUUAUUAAAUUUAAAACCUUUGGAAAGAAGAGGAAGCAUCAUAAACCAGAGCAGAGUGCUUUUUACUCUGACGUGAAGACGGGAGCUGCAGAGGACAGUCUGAUGUGUGCUGAGGUCAAACGCCCCAAAAAAGAAAAAGCCAAGAAAAAAGCAGGAAAAUCAAGUCCUGCAGCUGAUGCAGCAGUUUAUUCUGAAGUCACAUUAGGAAGCUUUCCUGGUCAGUGAGGAGAGCUGCAGCAGCAAAGCCAAGAAGAAGCAUUUAAUGAAUCCACUGUUGCUCCUCUGCUGCCCAAAUAUCAGACACACUCAGUCUUUAGUUUUAAUGAAGAUGAUAGUGAAUAAUAAUAUAAUAUAGAUUUGGUACUGUCUUUUAGCAUAAAGCACACAGAGGUGUGUCCUGUUUCGGCUCUAUGCUCUUUAUAUUCACCUUUUAUUCAUUGUUGAGCUUUAAUAUCAAACUUUGAAUGUAUCCUGUUACAACAGCAGUGAGAAAAAGUGUGAUUUUUAGUAGCUAAUAGCAACGACUUAAAGUCAGCAGAGUUACAUUAGGAAGUGCUGGUAUGGACACAAACAAAUACUUUUACUGUCUGAGUUUAAAGAUCUGCAUCAUGUAAAAAUGAAUUAUUUGGUAUAAAAACAUGAAAAAGC